GACGAACGCUGGCGGCGUGCUUAACACAUGCAAGUCGAACGGACAGGCCCUGCGUUUGUGGCGUGCUCGAGUGGCGCACGGGUGAGUAUCACGUGUGUAACCUGCCCUUGAAUUUGGGAUAACUUCAGGAAACUGGGUCUAAUACCGGGUAGAAGCUCCUGCUGCGUAGUGUGCAUAGGAAAGUUUCGGCCGUUCGGGAUGGACUAGAGGGAUAUCCGCUUGUUGGGCGAGUAGUGGCUUACCAAGGCUGUGACGGCUAGCCGGCCUUGGAGGGUGACCGGCCACAUUGGGACUGAGAGACGGACCAGACUCCUACGGGAGGCAGCGGUGGGGAAUAUUGCACAAUGGGCGGAAGCCUGAUGCAGCAACGCUGCGUGCGGGAAGACGGCCUUCGGGGUGUAAACCGCUGUCGCAUGUGACGAAGCGUGAGUGACGGUAAUGGGUAAAGAAGCACCGGCUAACUACGUG
rnacentral:rRNA from 1 species